rnacentral:rRNA from 1 species
CCCUACGGGGCGCACCUGGAAACGCUGGUCAAGGAGCUGAAAGCCAUAUACCCGCAGGCGCAGAAGAGGGCGGAGUUUAUCGCCUUGGACCAGAGCAAUAAGGCGAACGGGAUAGUGAUCCAAGCGAGGCAGCUAGAACUUGGGAUAACGCAAGCGAAAUGGCUUCACUCGCAUGGGGGAAGGGUGCCCAGGCCGGACCAUGUGGCUGCUGACGGCAAAAUCUAUGAAGUGGCAAAGGGAUGCUUGAUAUCGGGCGAAUAUUUGCGCCCUGGUCAAUUGCCGAGAUGCAGGUGCGUUUGUCGCUCGGUGCUCCCGUACUGAGCCUUGAGGGGUAAAAAUUUUGCUGUACUUUUGCCUUUAGUGUGAUAAUUGGGAAAUGAUGCCAACAAAGUGGGGUGGAGAGGAAUUGGCGGGGGGGC